CCUACGGGUGACAGCAGUCGAGAAUCAUUCACAAUGGGGGAAACCCUGAUGGUGCGACGCCGCGUGGGGGAAUGAAGGUCUUCGUAUUGUAAACCCCUGUCAUGUGGGAGCAAAUUAAAAAGAUAGUACCACAAGAGGAAGAGACGGCUAACUCUGUGCCAGCAGCCGCGGUAAUACAGAGGUCUCAAGCGUUGUUCGGAAUCACUGGGCGUAAAGCGUGCGUAGGCUGUUUCGUAAGUCGUGUGUGAAAGGCGGGGGCUCAACCCGCGGACGGCACAUGAUACUGCGAGACUAGAGUAAUGGAGGGGGAACCGGAAUUCUCGGUGUAGAAGUGAAAUGCGUAGAUAUCGAGAGGAACACUCGUGGCGAAGGCGGGUUCCUGGACAUUAACUGACGCUGAGGCACGAAGGCCAGGGGAGCGAAAGGGAUUAGAUACCCUUGUAGUC
rnacentral:rRNA from 1 species